rnacentral:rRNA from 1 species
UACAGAGGUCUCGAGCGUUAGGCGGAAUCACUGGGCUUAAAGCGUGUGUAGGCGGAUCGUUAAGUACCUUGUGAAAUCCCACGGCUUAACCGUGGAACUGCUUGGUAUACUGGCGGUCUUGAGCCAGCUAGGGGCUACCGGAACAAAUGGUGGAGCGGUGAAAUGCGUAGAUAUCAUUUGGAACGCCAAUGGUGAAAACAGGUAGCUGGGGCUGUGCUGACGCUGAGACACGAAAGCCAGGGUAGCGAACGGG